ACCCAACAAGACUGAGUGUUGACAGGGCCGGGGUCCUGAGUGGGACUGGCAUGGAUGUUGAGAUGUUGAGUAAGGAUCUGAGUGAAAGAAUGUGACAUGAGGCAAAGACACCUUGCAUGGGCCAAAGCGAUGGGCCAGGGAGAGAAGUGUGAGGAAUCACCUUUCCCAUCGGAGCCCAGGUCAGAGAUGGCAUAGGGAGCUACCUGUGGAGUGAUAACUGUGGACUCCAAGCAGACCAGAUGAGCAAGAUAGGAUUCCACCUGGAAGGACUCUCAAUAGAAAGAGCUGUUUUGAUUUUGAGGAAAUAGAGGUACCAAGGAGGUGGGGCCCAGUCACACCAUGCACAUAGGAGCCUCCAGCAAGAGU